UUUUAAGACACCAUAGGGGUAAUAAGGGGAUUUCAGCCUACAUAUUGAAUGCUUCCGUUUCUAAUGAUUCAUGUUCUGGUUCCUCAUCGGCCAUUAUGAAAGAAAACCAUAAGACAGAAAUCCUACCUUCAUCGGCCGUGAAACCAUCCAUCAUCUAUCCGGUCACUUUUUCUGAUUCCGAUGGCUCUGCAUAUCGCCAAACGCCUCCUCCGUACCCGCGCCACAACCCCUGCCGCCGCGCUUUUCUCAGCCGUUGAUCGGAGCUUUUCCUCCACCUAUUCCGAUCUGAUUCGCGCCACUCUCUUUCCCUGCGACGGCAUCGGUCCAAAGAUCGCUGAAUCCGUCUAACAGGUUCUAGGUCUUGAAACUGAAAUCAGAAUGUUGAAAUCGCUAGAUCUUCAGUCACUGGCUAGGCUUCGAUGGGUGAGGUUGUGAUGUAUGUUUCUUGCUAAUUAACGUUACAUAUAGUUGGUUUGGUAUUUGUUUGGUUUGAUUUGAAUUGAUAGAUAUGUGCUUGUUUUCUCAGUCACUCGGAUUGAAAUGCAGAUUGGAGCAUGGCACCUGACCAGAGUGUCGUUUAGUGUUGCUAGGACUGGUGAAAACGUGAUACCAUCACUAGCAGAUUUACGUACAUCUGCCAAUUUCUUGGCUAGAUCACAAUAUUCAUUUUGUUUUAACAAUUGACUAACACCAGCCAGGCUCUCCGAAGCCGGAAAGCUUACAUCCGAACGUGUCUGCGGCUGUAAAUGGUGUCACUCUUGUUGGAACCCUAUCUGACCAAUUGUUCUUCGGGUGGCUCGGUGAUAAACUGGGUAAGCAGAAGGUUUACGGCAUCCGACCAAUCAUCUUUUACUUUCAUUCUUGAUGAUCCUAUUGGCAACAUCUUUUACUCUUUCCUGCCACACCGUUGCAUUUGAUAAGACUAGGACAUUGAGGACAGGGGAGUUUAUGUGUAAAGCGAUUGAGCCCAUACACGGACAUGAAGCUACCGCUUUUUGUUGCGUUACAACGUGUGAGAAAGAAGCUCUUGCUGUUGCUGCUGCUAUGGAAAAAGGCACCACCCACCCGAUCGGGAGUCAAUGUCUACUUGAUCUUUAUCAGGGUAAUAUGUGAUCUUCAGUCUUCUAAUGGUAUACACCCUUCCCUUACUAGAGGACCAGCAAGUUAUGGAGCUCUAUUUGUAUUGCGAUUUCUUUAUAGAAAAUAUGAUUUCAAGUCAGAUGAGGAGAGCCAAAUUGCGUACUUAACUUGAGCGAGCCAAUGAGUGAGUUGCCAUAAUUCUCAAAAUUAUGCUACAGAUGCAGUGAGAGAAGCCUUUUUUAUGCAAGAUUCGUUCGAAGAUAACAAGUCAAAGAUUCUUAUGAUAUUAUGUGCAAGCCCGGAUCCAAAGGAAAUGCAUAAGACAAUAUCGACAUUGGAAUACGGUGCAAAAGCCAAAUGCAUCGUGCGUGGGCCUCAUACGCCAAUUAAGGGUGACGAUUCGUCUUCGUCAGAUGUGAUGUUGGGUUCGAGAAUCGCGACUGCUUAGGUGAGUUCGUACAGAUUUUACGGUAACAUUACUGGUUUACGGUAACAUAACGGUUUCAUAAAAUGGAUAAUGUCAGACUUAAGUAAAAAACUGUCGACGGUAACAUUACUGGUCCAGUUGAGCGUUCUUGAGAUGCUUACAUUAGGGCAAACCAUGUCGGCCACUUAGUGAGUUCGGCCAGAUUUUAAGAACAAUUCAUUCUUUUGAAAAAGUUCAGCUGAUUGGCCAAGGCUUAAUGUCCUUUUUGAUAAAAGUUUUCGUCAUUUGCUUUAGACGAAGGAAGAGAGGGUUCAAAAUUUGUAUCUUACCAAGUUUUAUCUGAGUUUCAUGGUAGAGAUAAAUGGACGUAUAUCAUUGAAGUAUAUUAUUUGAGAACGGGAUUGGAUCGAAGUAUAUGGACAUGUACAAAUUUAUGCUCCCUAAUAUCAUAUAUGACAAUAACGUUGUAAAAAAACCUACUUUCGAUGUUUUGAUGAAAAUUUGUUGCGGUU